rnacentral:rRNA from 1 species
GACGAACGCUGGCGGCGUGCUUAACACAUGCAAGUCGAACGGUGAAGCACCUUCCUUUUGGUGGGUGUGGAUGAGUGGCGAACGGGUGAGUAACACGUGAGUAACCUGCCCCCUUCUUCUGGAUAACCGCAUGAAAGUGUGGCUAAUACGGGAUAUUCUGUGCCUGCUGCAUGGUGGGUGUGGGAAAGAUGCGCUUUUGGGUGUUUUUGGUGGGGGAUGGGCUCGCGGCCUAUCAGCUUGGUGGUGGGGUGAUGGGCUACCAAGGCGGUGACGGGUAGCCGGCGGGAUGGGGGGGGCGGUAACAGUGGGACAGAAAGACGGCCCAGACACCUAAGGGAGGCAGCAGUGGGGGAUAUUGCACAAGGGGAGCAAGCCUGAUGCAGCGACGCCGGGUGAGGGAUGGAGGCCUUCGGGUUGUAAACCUCUUUCGCCAGUAAAGCAGGCCUGUCCCUUGUGGGUGGGUUGACGGUAGCUGGAUAAGAAGCGCCGGCUAACUACGUG